UUUGUUGCUUCCUGCGAAUAACAUCAGAAAGCGCUACCCCGCUAAACCUAAUCGUCUCCUUUGUUCAUCUGAUCUUGACUUCGGCGGUGAGAAUGACGAUCGAUCGUUCUCCUUCUCCCUGUAACAGAACUCGACUUUAAUGGCAUUAAUACAGACGCCCAGUACGAGCCCUUCAAUGCGUCGUUCCGGCGGCGAGAUCUCUGCUAUAAAUAGGGUGUUUUUUUUCUCUGAUUUGAAGGUCGGGAAGUGUUCAUCGGUUGUCGAGGCUAGGCACUAUAGGUUUUUUUCUCUGGGCCGCGAUCAGACUAAGCUGUUCUUCCACUUCUCUAAGAAUGAAUCAUGUAAGGAUUGCUCUUGCUCCGCGUUUCGUAUUUGAAUAUAAUUUUUUUUUCCUGUAAUGGCAUCGCUACAAGUUCUAUAUCCAGCUUUGAUUUUGUUUCAUGAGUCAAUUUAUAUGGAUUGAGAAGGGAAACACAAGGAUUUAAUAUGUUGGUUAUUGAUUGUUUAAAUUAGAAAUACAAACAGGCGUUCUCUUCCAUCUCUUAUGUGCAGUACAAGAAAGACCUUGGAAUCUCACAGUAACUUAUCUUUCUCACUUCUUCAGUUUGAGAGAUAGGAUACACUUAAGAGGAUAUUCUAGAAACGUAUACCAUGUGAAGGAGAAGAUUCUGUAAAUUGCAACUUUUUUUAACUCUUUGAAAGAGUUGCAGAUAUUGAGACUGAUUACUGGUUAGAGAUCUAGGACGACGAGCACCAAAUCCCCACGAAAGAUGUUUUCUCUACAUAGCCGAAUAUGAAAAAAACUUUGUACUUAUUCUCUUUCUUAAUUUUCCAAAUGAGCUAUAAAUUUUCUGGGUUUGUUUGUUGUUCUAAAUAGUUGUAUCAUUUCGUAA